UCCCUCUGACUCUUCCAAAACUUCAGCCCCCAAAGUUCAGCCCGAGCAGCAGAGGGAAAGGAAGGGAAAGAGCUUUCAGCGGAGCGCUGGAAGUGAUGGGAGGAGGGACCCAGGUUGGGGUCAGAGCCUCCACAGCUGGUGCGCUCCUCAAAGAUGGAACUGAGCAUUGUGCAUGGAGGGACAAGAUGUAUCGCCUGCUCCAGGGAGUAGCAUCUGACAGCAUGAGACAGACAUCCUGCAUUCAGCUUCAGUUCCUGGCUCUAGAAAUGCAAAUGGAGAAGUGAGGCUUGUCCCAACACUGGAACAUACUCAUUCCUGAGAUACUCUUCAGGUCUGAGAAGUUGGACAGCUAGUGAGUAAGACAUCUAACUUCUAUCUUCUUUAAGGAGUCUACACUGAGCAUCUACCAAUUGUGGCCAUUUCUGAAAGCUUAUAAUUUUUUUACCUGUUGAGCAAAAGAGCAGCAUCUCUACCAAUGAGAACAACAAAUAAAAACCAUCUACAAACCAUAUGAGACCAAGACACUCAAUUUUAUACUGUGUAAAAGUAUGAUGUAAUGUAUGAUAACAGUGUUUAAUGGCAGAUAGCAGUACUUAGUGGCAUAUGAACUUAGCUAAAGUAGAGUAGAAUUCAGUCCUGAUAAGUCCCAAGACAGGAUUUCUGUCUUAUGUGUCAUGAUGAAAGAGACUCCAUUUGUUGCAUACAAAAGAAAAGUCAUACAACAGUAGAAAAUGUUCUCAAUUCAAUUAAGAAAGUGGGUUCCAAAGCAUAAAAAAGCUGAUGACUGCAUUAUGCCCUGAGCAGGUCUCAGAUAAUUUUGGUUUUGUCCAUCAAAAUAAGACACUUCUUUCAUUAUUUGCACCAUUUGUCUUUCAUUCUAAACUGAGGACAGUGAUUACUUUUCGUUAGGUAUGUAGAGCAAGGUAUGGCUGAUAAGGCUUGUUGUCGGCUGCUUUGCCCUGUUUUCCUAAAGAGAAAAGAAAUACAUCUCAUAUACAAAGUUACAUGUUGAGUUCCAGAUGAAAAUCUAGAAUUACAAACUUCUAGCUUAUUUUGGGGGUCUAGAGAGUAUCAUUUUUUUGAUAAAAUGGAACACUCAUUUGAAAAAAAUAUCUCUGACAGGAAAAGUUUCAAGUAUUAGUUUAAGAUCAAGCAUUUUGGUUAAGUUUUUACUGAAUCAGAGCAUGAAAGAAGAGAGAAAUGUGGCUAUACUCAUGUCCAUCACCACGUGCUGGGAAUCUGUACAGUAACUUUAAUGUGCUUAAAUAGGCACACAUAUGUAUAUGCCUCAAGUGAUGUUUUCAAAGAUCAGAAUCAGUUGUCUAAUUGAUUUAAUUUAUUGGCAUUUAUUCAUUUACUGUAUCUGUAGGGAGACAGGAAAAUAUCUAACUCAUUGCAGCAAAGGACAAAUAUACAAUAUAUUCAAAACAAUGUAAAAGAAAUAAACUAUAUGCCAUCUGCAUGCCAAGAAAAAUUGUAUUGGGUGUAGGACUGAUCUGUAUGCACAUGAUUGAAAUACAGGCAUGAGAACUGAAAUGUACUGCCAUAAAAUGCUGUGUAUCAGUUGUUGACAUGGAAUUAUAAAUUACAGCUGUGGCACAUGAUUACCAUCUAUGCCUUGACAAGCCAAACUAGGAUGUUGCUGCAGAGGGUCAUUGUCCAUCGGGAAAGGAAGAGUACAUAAUUCUGUUGGGUAGGUGGGUUGGUGGAUGGGGAUAGAGGGGUUGUUUGUUUGUUUUGUUUGUUUGUUUUAUUUCUUUAACAUUGUAAAUAGCAAGAGAUUAUGCAAAUACAGCUUUUACAAUGCCUUGUUCUCAGAUAAAUUCCAAAUGCAGAUGUCAAAGGCAAGAGAACUUACUGUAUUAGUUGCUCUGUACGUACAAUAUUAGGAAUAAUUGCUUACAAAUCAUAUAGACUAAUACAUUUUUAUUACUUCCUUUACAAUGGUACAUGUUUCACAAGUAGAAAGCAUGUCAGAUAGAUACAUGGAAAAUCGUUCUGGGAGCUAUAUUGCAUAUGGCAUGCACAGACUCCUGUGGGAUGUUAUCUUUGCUUUCAACAGUGUUAAUUUACUUCUGUGACAAUGCAUUACAUUCAGAACUUCAGACAAUUUCUUACUAUCAAAAUGUGGGGCUGAUGAGAGAGUUGUUAUUACUGAAGUCUACUGAAUCCCAAUUGUUUCAUAGUCAAAACAUGGUGGAGGAAACA